GACGAACGCUGGCGGCGUGCUUAACACAUGCAAGUCGAACGGAAACGCCCUGCGUUUGUGCUGUUCUCGAUUGCCGAACGCGUGAGUAACACGUGAGCAACCUGCCCUACUCUUUGGGAUAACUUCAGGUAACUGAGGCUAAGAUCGUACAGCAUCUGCUGUUCCAUGGUGAGCGGUGGAAAUUCGCGGCGGGCGCGGAUGGAUUCGCGGCUGAUGAGCUUGUUGGUUGGGGAGUGGCUGACCAAGCCUUGGACCGGUAGCCGGCCUGGGAGGGUGGACGGCCACAUUGGGACUGAGAUACGGAGCAGACUCCUACGGGAGGCAGCAGUGGGGAAUAUUGCACAAUGGGAGGAAGCCUGAUGCAGCAACGCCGCGUGCGGGAUGACGGCCUUCGGGUUGUAAACCGCUUUCGCCUGUGACGAAGCGUGAGUGACGGUAAUGGGUAAAGAAGCACCGGCUAACUACGUG
rnacentral:rRNA from 1 species